rnacentral:misc_RNA from 1 species
GGGGGGGCUGGCGAGAGGGGAGAGGAUUAAUACCCACUUCCCAUCCCCGGUCAACACGCACAUGCUUGAGUAUGCUGACUUCAUUCAUUGCAAAAUUCUGUUUAAGCAAGCAUCAAGCCAUCUACCAAAAUCUAAACUGAACUUCUGUAUUUGUCCAUACAAGCCGUAAAAUUCAAUUACAAGUUUCUGAAUACAAAACUGAAAAUUCAGGCUUUAGGUCCCUCAAAAUUGAGCAGCCCAUAUUCAUUCUCUUAAUCAAUUCUCACAGAGAAGAGAAAUAUUAUAUCAAAAUAGUAACCGUAUAAAUUUCUAAGUCUAAUCAAUUUAUUGUUGUUUCUCAUAUGGUAUGCCAACAACGCAAAAGAAAAAUGACCAAAUAACAUUCCUUUCACUUUCAUGUUUUAUCUUUCACAUCAAAAGAUGAGGAAAGUUCUGCAACCUCUAAUUCUUAAACCCAGUUCAGAUAUGAACAAUUAAAAAAAUCUCACCAAGCAUUAAAAGAGGGGAAGAACAAAGAACACUGCACGAUUACAAAUAAAAGAAAAAAAAAUCUUUUUAAUUCAUUUUUCCACCUGGGCGACAGCAAAAAUCCACAAAAUGCCUUGAACCAUAACGAAUCACACAAGACACUAAAAAAGGGUAUCUUUGAACCUCACCCACUAGACAAGCAAGAAACCGAUAUGAAUGAAGAGCAAAUGUGUGGUCAGAAACCACGUACACAGAUACAUACAAAUAUUAUAACAAACAUUCUAU